rnacentral:tRNA from 1 species
GCCAUGGUAGCUCAGCAGGGAGAGAGUUAGACUGAAGACCUAAAGGUCGCUGGUUCUACCCCGGCUCGUGGCA